AGUCCACCUAUAGUAACAUAAAUGUUCUUGCUUCUGCCCAAACAGUUCCAACUAUCAUGUGGUACAUAAACACCAUCGAGAAGGAUGGCAGUCAAUAAAACCUCCAGGUUAUUACCAAGGACCUUGGCAUCAAUUCCAUAAGGAAGGGAGCAGGGCUGACAUCUGUUGAAGGCCCCACAGCCAUUGUUGAAGAGCGUGAUCUUCCUUAUCAUUACCAACACCAACUGCUAAGCAAGUGUCAGUGACCGGCAGGUAUUGACAAUAUCUCCCUCUUGAAAUGACUUUGCAUUUCACUGAAUUAAUGCCUGUUGUGUCUUCCAGAAGGAAUGUAAGGUCUUUGAAGACCUCUCUAUUCCUUAAGGAGAACUAGAGCUGAAUUGAAUGAGAUUAAAUUGAAGAGGAAUGAAUGUAAAGUUUCACACUUGGACUUGAACAAUACUUCAUCAAUAUAAAGAUAGAGGCUUUUAGGGCAGAGAAGAGAAAGACAGCAUUGAAUAAUAGACCCAGAGCUGCCUUUACAUCUAGGGAUACCUGGUUUCAAAUGCGACUCCUACACUUAUUGGAUGUUUGACCAUGGGUAACUCACUUCAUCUUUACAAUGCUUCUGACAACUGAAAGACCGUGAAUUACAAGUGCUACUGUCUGAGUAAGGAAGACCCAGGUUUAAGUCUUAACUUCAAUACAUAUUGACUGUGUGAUCCUGAGCAAGUCAUUAACCUCUCAGUGUCUCAGGCAAUACUCUUAAGACCAGUGAUGUCAAACUCGAAUGGAAACGGGGGCCACUAAAGGUAAGUAAGGAUCCCUGUGAGUACACAUUGACUUAGAA